ensembl:lncRNA
GUUAGGAGUACAAUUCAUGUAGUAUAUUUAAUUGUAACAGAUGUUGUGCUCUUACAGAUCAAACCUCUAGUGUCUAAAAAAAAUAUAUAUAUCAAAACCUUCAAACAAAUGAAAGCCUUAAUAAUAGGGAAGAGAUGUGCACGUAAGCUUUAGAUUUUUUGCAAGGAGGGCUGUUGAUACAAGCUAUGCACAUCUCUGCUUAUAUUUGUUUUGCUAGAUAUCAUUGGACAGCACCUAGGAGUGGAAUAAGCACAAGUUAUCCAGGUAAAGGAAGAAUCCCGUUCACUUUCAGCAGUUCAGUCACCCUAACGAUGAUGAUUAUUAUGAAACAGGUAGUGUAACUCAAGAUGACAAUGAUAACCGCCCUGAAUGUCCAUAUGGAACUGCUUGCUAUAGGAAGAAUCCACAGCACAAACUUGAAUACAAGCAUACUGUACCUCCAGUCACUGAAAGAUGAACCCGACAACGAACUUCCAAGAAUGGAAAAAGAGGUUUAGAGGAAGACAGUGAUAAUGAUGGUGAACCAAAUGAAUACGAUCUCAAUGACAGCUUCAUAGAUGAUGAGGAGGAGGAGUGUGAACCUACUGAUGAAGAUUCUGACUGGGAACCAAGUUCAGAAGAAAAGGAUAAUGAAGAUGUCGAAACACUUGUGAAAGAAGCACAGAGAUUUGUUAAGACCAAAAAGUAGCUGCACUGAAUAACAUUAAGAAUGUCCAAUCCAGUUGUGUUAAAAUUUGGGUGUGAAAGAAGAGAAGUUGCUUCGAAAACUACUUUUUCCUCAGUGAUAUAGGAACUAUGGGGACAGUUUAAUGGUGGUGAGGGGAUUCUGCACUACCUUUCUUUUUGUGUGAAUUUCACACUUGUUUUUUCAUAAGUGGUGGAGUUAAACGAUUGAGCUCUGGGAUUCUACUGUGUGUCAGCUGAAGUAGGACUUUAAAACAUAACUUUCUCAGCGAUAUCUUCUCCAACAUCAUUAGUCUGGUGGUAUGAAAUACAGCUUUAAAGGUUUAUAAUGCUUUAUCUCUCUGUCUAAAUAUUGACAUUAGAAAAGCCUUUAGAUUUGCUGAAGCACAAUAUAUACUGUGUUAAAUAAAGAGGAACUAGACUUCAUACCUGCCAAAUCACAGGCUGAUUCUCGGCCAUCACUGAGGAAAUCUGUCUAAACCGUUUUACUUGUUCUUUUCAGUUAUUGAAACCUUACAUUUCAUUAAUCAGCUACUAGCUUUCCUUUUAGGUUUCACUUCUUUGAUUGUCUUGAUGUACAGCAGUUAAAUACCAGUUGUCUGCAUAACUUCAGAAUAUCUAAGUGUACUGAAUCUUAGAUGAUGCCCCUACACAAAUUAUGGUGUAUCUGCUUUAAUUACAGUACCUGUUCAAAUACAUGUGCAUCCCUGGAGCUGUGUGUGGUUCACAAAAAAGCUGAAAUAAACUGACUAUUUUUGCACAGUUAAACUUAUAAUAUGCUAUGAGGAAAAAAAAAAACCCGAAACUUAUAGCUGUGUCUCUGUUCUUUGUUGGAAGAUCCUGCCUUCAGUGUGUUCACUGCUUUCCUGAGCUUAAGUUAAAAGAUCUGAAUGUGUGUCUGGGCAGAUGAUGGAACCCAUGUUAAUUUAGGAGGUUGUUUGUUUUCUAAUAUAUAAUACAGAAAUUCAGCAGGGGUACCAUUCUUGUGUGACUUUGUGAAAUUUUUCCUAAUUGUGGUUGAAUAAUAGCUAUCCAAAUGCACUUUGAGCAUUUUAGUUGGGUGAUGAAAUGCUCUUUGCUGGUGAACUCUGGGGAGUAUGUAUUCCAGCUGAUCAGUUUUUUGCAGCACAUUCCCAGCAUGAAGAAAAAUGCCAUUGUCCAGGGCUUCAGAAGAAGCAGAUAUUUGUUGUAAUUUCCUAUCUCUUUAAUAUGCUUUUGCAGUCUUAUGUUUUUUUAAUCAUGUUUAUACUGUUAUAUCUUUGCUUGGAGAGAUUGAGUGUCAUGAAAGCAAACUGCUAUUCAGAUCUGUAUUCUGACAAUGUAAUCUUUCUUGCAAAACCUCAGAAAGUUACUUAGAAUAAAUUGGAUGUGACUGCAAAUUGGUUUAGGGCUAAUUUUGGAUGCACAGUAAUAACUUGCAAAGUGUGACUGCAGUUUCUCUUAAAAAAUGGUAGAUAAUGAAACGUUUAUGAUGGGCAACCAUUCAGUUUCUGUUGGCCAAGGACCUAGGUGAUAUAUGCAGUGUCAGAUCAGCUCUGUGACCUUAACCUUCCUCAAGUAGAAACAUUCAUUACUGUAAUGUUAUCCUUUGAAUGGCUAUCUAAGCUGCUCGAAGGAGAUACUAGCAUUUGGAAAACUGAAAUAGCAUUUUGUCAUGGGAGCCUCCUAAUGAGAUAUGUAAUCACAAAAGCAAGUGUGCAUACGAUUCUUGGUUUGUGUGAUAGGUUAAGAUUUACUGCUGAUACUUCAGGACACGUCAAAGGUAUUGUAUAAGGGUAGGAUGAAGCUGCCUCUGUUCAGGAGUAUUUUCCUGAUACUCAGUAUGUGUUUUUAUCCUUCUAGAUGGAGAAUCUUGUAACUGCAAGAUAUUUGAACAUUGAUUGAAAGUACUCAGUUUGUGAUACAGGUAAGAUCUCUCAGGCACUUAACAAGACACUAAAUGCCAAGUUCUCCUGUGUUUUCAGUCUGUCAGAUAUACACUAAAAUUCAGUGGAGUGCGAUAUAGUCUUACGAUUAAACUCUCU